GAAAAGUUCCUGGCUUUAAGGGUAUCAUAAAAGGUGUUGUUGGAGUCCCAAACUUCUGAAUUCUUUUAUAGGACUUAGAUAAACUGAAGGACUGCUACAAUAAAUGUGUCAAUCUGAGAAGGGAAUAUGUUGAAUAAAAUCAUAAUUAACUGAUCUUCCAGUAUUUUCUUUUACCCUAAACUAGAAACUUUUCAGUAUC